rfam:Triticum aestivum genome assembly, contig: Triticum_aestivum_CS42_TGACv1_scaffold_271703_3DS
AUCAUACUCCCUCGUCCGGAAUUACUUGUCGCAGAAAUGGAUGUAUCUAGACGUAUUUUAGUUCUACAUACAUCCAUUUUUAUCCAUUUCCGCACAAGCAAUUCGGGACGGAGGGAGUAUGUU